AGUGAACGCUGGCGGUAGGCCUAACACAUGCAAGUCGAACGGCAGCACAGUAAGAGCUUGCUCUUACGGGUGGCGAGUGGCGGACGGGUGAGGAAUACAUCGGAAUCUACUUUUUCGUGGGGGAUAACGUAGGGAAACUUACGCUAAUACCGCAUACGACCUACGGGUGAAAGCAGGGGAUCUUCGGACCUUGCGCGAUUGAAUGAGCCGAUGUCGGAUUAGCUAGUUGGCGGGGUAAAGGCCUACCAAGGUGACGAUCCGUAGCUGGUCUGAGAGGAUGAUCAGCCACACUGGAACUGAGACACGGUCCAGACUCCUACGGGAGGCAGCAGUGGGGAAUAUUGGACAAUGGGCGCAAGCCUGAUCCAGCCAUACCGCGUGGGUGAAGAAGGCCUUCGGGUUGUAAAGCCCUUUUGUUGGGAAAGAAAAGCAGCAGGUUAAUACCCCGCUGUUCUGACGGUACCCAAAGAAUAAGCACCGGCUAACUUCGUG
rnacentral:rRNA from 1 species